CGUCUAAUUAAAUGUCGAUGGGAUCCGGCAUUCCCGAUAAUUUACCAGUUUCUUGCGCAUCGAUGGCUAUUUACAAGAUGCUGGUUCCUAGAGAUCAUUCGAAAUUGAUUGCGAUGGCCAAUAAAUUCAGUGAAAACGAGGCUCGGUGAGACGUUCAAAGAUACGAGGGAAGAAAGAGGAGAGGAAAUAAGACAACUUCGCGGAGCAGAUCUCUCACGGCUGUCAGGCGUGACACGUUUAUCUUAAACAGCGUUACGUUCAACACUCGCGGAACUCAUUAGUUAGGUUGCGCA
rnacentral:misc_RNA from 1 species